GGGCUCAUAGCUCAGUUGGCAGAGCGCGUCGCUGAUAACGACGAGGUCCCAGGUUCAAGUCCUGGUGGGCCCA
rnacentral:tRNA from 3 species